AUGUCAAGAAGGCUGCUGUAUCCAUUCUGCUUUAAUGAGUAGAGUGAAGGUCUUGUUUCUAUGGCAAUACAAGAGAAAGUCUUUGCAGAGUUGUUGCAGCUGGAAGCCUUCACUUACUUUAAGAGCUCAUUAAAGCUAGUUGAGCCUUCCAAACCUGGAGUGAACUGCUCCUUACAGAACUGCCAAAAGGAAGAAAUAGAAAAGAAAAAAGGAGCAAUAGGUCCAAAUUCUGGAGGCUGGGAAGUCGAAGAUUAAGGUGCCAGCAGAGUCUGUGUCUGGUGAGGACUUUCUGUGUCUACAUUGCUGCAACAUCUGGAGGGGACAAAUAUUGCAUCUUCACAUGGCAGAAGGAAUGGAAGGAAAGAGCUCACUGGUUUUCCUGGACGUCAAGAGAAGCUAUGCCGUACCCUCAACACUCUGCUUAGAGAUUUCUUCCAUUAAAUAUCCUAGUUCACAUCUGCCUCCCACAAACUACUAGGACAUGGACACUGCUCAGUCAAGUUCUUUGCCAAUUUGUAACAAGAAUGGCCUUUCCUCCUAUUUCCAAUAAGAAGCAUCCCACUUCUUGGAGAUAGUGACAAGAGGCAGGGAAAUUCUGGGCAGAAGAGGGUGAGUCCAAGCUGAAAAGCCUAAUACCACGGCCCAAAGCCCCACCAGCAGAGGGAGGAGAAGAGGAGAAGCAGCUGGACAUCAGAGACUAUGGUUGGACAUUGGAGAGAAGCAGCUUGACUUCAAAGGGACGGCUUGAUGGCAUUGCUUCGGAGAAGAGUUCAGCCAGGGACAGCUGGACUCUAGGGGAAUAUUAUCUUCCCGCACCGUCCACUUUUCAGCUCCCCUUCCCACUGAGAACCACUUUCAAUGGCAAUAA